rnacentral:rRNA from 1 species
UACGGAGGGGGCAAGCGUUAUUCGGAAUUAUUGGGCGUAAAGGGCGCGUAGGCGGCUAGAUGUGUCAAAGGUGAAAUCCCUCGGCUCAACUGAGGAACUGCCUUUGAAACUGUCUGGCUUGAGGCCGGGAGAGGGUAGCGGAAUUCCCAGUGUAGCGGUGAAAUGCGUAGAUAUCUGGAGGAACACCGGUGGCGAAGGCGGCAUCCUGGACCGGCAUUGACGCUGAGGCGCGAAAGCCAGGGGAGCAAACGGG